AGCGACAGAAGAAGCACCGGCUAACUCCGUGCCAGCAGCCGCGGUAAUACGGAGGGUGCGAGCGUUAAUCGGAAUUACUGGGCGUAAAGCGCAUGCAGGUGGUUAGUUAAGUCAGAUGUGAAAGCCCGGGGCUCAACCUCGGAAUUGCAUUUGAAACUGGACUGACUAGAGUACUGGUAGAGGGGGUUAGAAUUUCAGGUGUAGACGGUGAAAUGCGUAGAGAUCUGAAGGGAAUACCGGUGGGCGAACGGCGGCCCCCCUGGACAGAUACUGACACUCAGAUAGCGAAAGGCGUGGGGAAGCAAACAGGAUUAGAUACCCUGGUAG
rnacentral:rRNA from 1 species